rnacentral:tRNA from 2 species
GCAACUGUAGCUCAGCGCCAGAGCCCCGCCCUUGUAAGCCGGCCGUCGAAGGUUAAAAUCCCUCCAUUUGCU